AUUGAACGCUGGCGGCAGGCCUAACACAUGCAAGUCGAGCGGAUGAAGGGAGCUUGCUCCUGGAUUCAGCGGCGGACGGGUGAGUAAUGCCUAGGAAUCUGCCUGGUAGUGGGGGAUAACGUCCGGAAACGGGCGCUAAUACCGCAUACGUCCUGAGGGAGAAAGUGGGGGAUCUUCGGACCUCACGCUAUCAGAUGAGCCUAGGUCGGAUUAGCUAGUUGGUGGGGUAAAGGCCUACCAAGGCGACGAUCCGUAACUGGUCUGGGAGGAUGAUCAGUCACACUGGAACUGAGACACGGUCCAGACUCCUACGGGAGGCAGCAGUGGGGAAUAUUGGACAAUGGGCGAAAGCCUGAUCCAGCCAUGCCGCGUGUGUGAAGAGGUCUUCGGAUUGUAAAGCACUUUAAGUUGGGAGGAAGGGCAGUAAGUUAAUACCUUGCUGUUUUGACGUUACCAACAGAAUAAGCACCGGCUAACUUCGUG
rnacentral:rRNA from 1 species